AUUGAACGCUGGCGGCAGGCUUAACACAUGCAAGUCGAGCGGGGUGAUGGUGCUUGCACUAUCACUUAGCGGCGGACGGGUGAGUAAUGCUUAGGAAUCUGCCUAUUAGUGGGGGACAACAUCUCGAAAGGGAUGCUAAUACCGCAUACGUCCUACGGGAGAAAGCAGGGGAUCACUUGUGACCUUGCGCUAAUAGAUGAGCCUAAGUCGGAUUAGCUAGUUGGUGGGGUAAAGGCCUACCAAGGCGACGAUCUGGAGCGGGUCUGAGAGGAUGCUCCGCCACACUGGGACGGAGACACGGCCCAGACUCCUACGGGAGGCAGCAGUGGGGAAUAUUGGAAAAGGGGGGGAACCCGGAUCCAGCCAUGCCGCGUGUGGGAAGAAGGCCUUAUGGUUGUAAAGCACUUUAAGCGGGGAGGAGGCUCUUUUGGUUAAUACCCAAGAUGAGUGGACGUUACUCGCAGAAUAAGCACCGGCUAACUCUGGGCCAGCCGCCGCCGUAA
rnacentral:rRNA from 1 species